CAAAAUAAAAUAUAUAUAGGUCUGUGUUUAUUGUUUACAUUUCAUCUACUUCCGGACCCGGUGUGUCCUAAAUUUACGAAGAAAUGGUUGAAGACUAGAUCUACAUCUAGAUCUAGUUCUAGACAUAGAUCUCUAGAUCUACUGAUCUAGUAGUCUAGGUCUAGAUAUUAGAAUUAGAUCUAUUCUUAGAAUCUACCUCCAAGAAUGAAAUCAGCUCAGCCUUGAGUUGGACGACAUGCUUUAACACUUUUCCCCUGGAGAGCCAACAAACGUUGGUGUGAUACAGGAGACAUUAGUAGUCUGAAUCCAUUGCUUCACAAAGCUCUGAGGAAAGUCAGAAUGCAAGCGGUCGAGAUUUGAGGAAGUUUACAACUUCAAUCACUUGAUCCAGAACAGACAUCAAAUAUUUGAAGGCAAGAGCUUCUCUGUGGAUCAUGCAGUGAACAACUAAUACAUUUGGAUUUUCUUGACGCACAAGAGUGAAGAAUCCCUUUCUAUUUCCCUGCAUGGAAGGACAGCCAUUGGUGCAAACGCUGACACAGUUUGUCUCCACUGUACUUUGAAUAGCAAAAUGUUUUCGUUCACCACUUAAAAAUCUUCGCCUUUGGUCGUAGUUGGGCACAACAUAAUGAGGCAACACUUAUUCUGGAUGUUGAAACUAGUGAAAAGAACAUGUGGCCUUGUUUUAUCAUGAGGCCCAUACAAAAUACUGGCCCCCAACAGUCCUUUAGAAUAAAGAUUGUAUGGAAAGCUGCCUGAUCUGAAAAGAAUGGAGUUCAUCUUUGA